AUUGUUUGUGGCGUCCUGACGCUAGAUUUGUUGAGAUAACUGAGUGAUUGUUGAGAGACAUGAUAAUGUUGGUGUUGAACAAGAAGAAUGUCUAGCAGCUAACACCUCACACUUAACAGGGAAAAGGCUGGAUUUGUCUAAUAGGACAAUGAAAACCAAACUUAAAAGAAAUUAGAAAAAUAGAAGAAGAAGAAAUUAAAAAAGAAAAAUAACAAGAAGUGGUCCUGAAUUGCUAAACUUGCACAAGCCACCGAGACAGCAUCAGUGUCAUCAACCUCUGAUCCGACAGAGUUUGUCAAAACAGUGAAGGCUGCCUAGUAUUCAACAAAUUUGAUUUUGGAGAACUAUCUUAUCCCUCACCCAUUCUGAACAAGACCACUUUAGAUUCAAAAGUGGCAACGAAAAAAAAAAAAAAAACAAAGCCAAAGUGAAAAUCUUGGAUGGGCAAACUGAAGUUGAAUGCGAGAAGUAUUGAAGAGAAACAGGCGUGAAAAGGUGCUCUGCAAAGAGCUGAAGGUUUUCAGGUAAAAAACCAUGUGGAAUUGCUUGCUAAAUCUAUUAAGAAACAAGAUGAAAUCAAAUCAAAUUGUAAAAGAAGUUGGCUGAACGCAUCGAAGAAUAGGAAAAGAGAAAGGAAUAACAAGAGAAAACGAGAAAAGCAAACAUUAAGAAAAAGAAAACUGAAAAGAAAGAACAUAAACCGAAUGAACACCUCACACUUAACAGGGAAAAAGCUGGAAUUGUCUGAUAGGACAACGAAAAUCAAACUUAAACGGAAGUUAGAGGGAAUGAACAAGAAAUUAAAAAGGAAAAGUAAGAAGAAAAGGUCCUGAGUUGCCAAACAUGCUUGAGCCACCAAGGCAGCUUCUGUGUCAUCAACCUCUGGUCUUUCAGAGUUUGUUAAAACAGAAAUUCCUAAACCAAGACUAGCAAGUACACUGCCAACACCAAUUUUUAACAGUGAAGGCUGCCUAGUUUCCAGCAAAUGCGAUUUUGGAGAACUAUCUAAUUCCUCACCCAUUCUGAAAAAGACCACUUCAGAUCCAGAAGUGGCAACGAUUAAAAUGAAAGAAAAUAAAACUUAAACCAAAAAUGAAAAUCUUGGUAGGCCAAGCUGAAGUUCAAAUGCAAGAAGUAUUGAAGAGAAACAGGCAUAAAAUGGUGCUCUGCAAAUAGCUGAAGGUUUUCAGGUAAAAGACUAUGUGGAAUUGCUUGCCAAAUCAAUGAACAAGAUCAAAUCAGAAAGUAACAUAAAUUGCGCUGAACGAAACGAAGAAAAGGAAAAGAGAAAAAAAUAACUACAGAAAAAAAGACAAACCAACAUUAAGAAAAAUUAAACUGAAAAGAAAGAACAUUAAGUGAAUAAACCAAAGAAAAACAGGCAAAUUUAUCGUAUGAAAUAAUGAUACUGUCUCAUGGACGAGCUAAACUCGUGUUCUUUCAUGUGCAAGCCAUGUCGUGAUAGUUUUUUUAACAAUACACUAGCAUGCUUUCCAUGACCGUGGAAAAUUUAAAGAA